CCCUUAGAUGUUCUGGGCCGCACGCGUGCUACACUGACCGGCGCAACAAGUUUCUUUCCUUGGCUCGAUAGGCCUGGGUAAUCUUUGAACGCCGGUCGUGAUGGGGAUAGAUCCUUGCAAUUUUUGAUCUUCAACGAGGAAUUCCUAGUAAAUGCGAGUCAUCAUCUCGCGUUGAUUACGUCCCUGCCCUUUGUACACACCGCCCGUCGCACCUACCGAUUGAAUGGUCCGGUGAAAUCUCCGGACUGGCGUGAGUCGGAGCAAUCUGACAAACGCCGGAAAGUUGAUUAAACCUUACCAUUUAGAGGAAGGUGAAGUCGUAACA
rnacentral:rRNA from 1 species